AAGUCGUAACAAGGUUUCCGUAGGUGAACCUGCGGAAGGAUCAUUAUCGAAUUAGCAAGGGGGUUGAUGCUGGCGAUCUAUGAUUGCAUGUGCUCGCUCUCUUUAAUCCACUUUCACAUGUGCACUUAUUUUUUGAAGGCAAAGGUGGUAAAAGACCUGCCUUUGAAACUCAUAAACUCUUAUUUGAUGUGUUGGGUGUUUGUCUGCCGAUAGGCAAAAUCUUAGUAUAACUUUUAACAACGGAUCUCUUGGCUCUC
rnacentral:misc_RNA from 1 species